rnacentral:rRNA from 1 species
UACGUAGGGGGCAAGCGUUGUCCGGAUGUAUUGGGCGUAAAGAGCGUGUAGGCGGCCAUACAGGUCCGUUGUGAAAACUGGAGGCUUAACCUCCAGACGUCGAUGGAAACCGUAUGGCUAGAGUCCGGAAGAGGAGAGUGGAAUUCCUGGUGUAGCGGUGAAAUGCGCAGAUAUCAGGAAGAACACCCGUGGCGAAGGCGGCUCUCUAGUACGGUACUGACGCUGAGACGCGAAAGCGUGGGGAGCGAACGGG